CGCAAGCCUGACGGAGCAAUACCGCGUGGGGGAUGACGGUCUGUGGAUUGUAAACCCCUUUUCUCUAGGAAGAAGUUCUGACGGUACUAGAGGAAUCAGCAUCGGCUAACUCCGUGCCAGCAGCCGCGGUAAGACGGAGGAUGCAAGCGUUAUCCGGAUUUAUUGGGCGUAAAGCGUCCGCAGGCGGCUAAUCAAGUCUGCUGUUAAAGGCCGAGGCUUAACUUCGGUUGAGCAGUGGAAACUGAUUAGCUAGAGUGCGAUAGGGGUAGAGGGAAUUCCCAGUGUAGCGGUGAAAUGCGUAGAUAUUGGGAAGAACACCAGUGGCGAAGGCGCUCUACUGGGUCGCAACUGACGCUGAGGGACGAAAGCUAGGGGAGCG
rnacentral:rRNA from 1 species